rnacentral:rRNA from 1 species
AGAGUUUGAUCCUGGCUCAGGACGAACGCUGGCGGCGCGCCUAACACAUGCAAGUCGAACGAGCGAGAGAGAGCUUGCUUUCUCGAGCGAGUGGCGAACGGGUGAGUAACGCGUGAGGAAUCUGCCUCAAAGAGGGGGACAACAGUUGGAAACGACUGCUAAUACCGCAUAAGCCCACGGGUCGGCAUCGACCAGAGGGAAAAGGAGCAAUCCGCUUUGAGAUGGCCUCGCGUCCGAUUAGCUAGUUGGUGAGGUAACGGCCCACCAAGGCGACGAUCGGUAGCCGGACUGAGAGGUUGAACGGCCACAUUGGGACUGAGACACGGCCCAGACUCCUACGGGAGGCAGCAGUGGGGAAUAUUGCACAAUGGGGGAAACCCUGAUGCAGCGACGCCGCGUGGAGGAAGAAGGUCUUCGGAUUGUAAACUCCUGUUGUUGGGGAAGAUAAUGACGGUACCCAACAAGGAAGUGACGGCUAACUACGUGCCAGCAGCCGCGGUAAAACGUAGGUCACAAGCGUUGUCCGGAAUUACUGGGUGUAAAGGGAGCGCAGGCGGGAAGACAAGUUGGAAGUGAAAUCUAUGGGCUCAACCCAUAAACUGCUUUCAAAACUGUUUUUCUUGAGUAGUGCAGAGGUAGGCGGAAUUCCCGGUGUAGCGGUGGAAUGCGUAGAUAUCGGGAGGAACACCAGUGGCGAAGGCGGCCUACUGGGCACCAACUGACGCUGAGGCUCGAAAGUGUGGGUAGCAAACAGGAUUAGAUACCCUGGUAGUCCACACCGUAAACGAUGAUUACUAGGUGUUGGAGGAUUGACCCCUUCAGUGCCGCAGUUAACACAAUAAGUAAUCCACCUGGGGAGUACGACCGCAAGGUUGAAACUCAAAGGAAUUGACGGGGGCCCGCACAAGCAGUGGAGUAUGUGGUUUAAUUCGACGCAACGCGAAGAACCUUACCAAGUCUUGACAUCCCUUGACAGGCAUAGAAAUAUGUUUUCUCUUCGGAGCAAGGAGACAGGUGGUGCAUGGUUGUCGUCAGCUCGUGUCGUGAGAUGUUGGGUUAAGUCCCGCAACGAGCGCAACCCUUAUGGUCAGUUACUACGCAAGAGGACUCUGGCCAGACUGCCGUUGACAAAACGGAGGAAGGUGGGGAUGACGUCAAAUCAUCAUGCCCUUUAUGACUUGGGCUACACACGUACUACAAUGGCGUUAAACAAAGAGAAGCAAGACCGCGAGGUGGAGCAAAACUCAGAAACAACGUCCCAGUUCGGACUGCAGGCUGCAACUCGCCUGCACGAAGUCGGAAUUGCUAGUAAUCGUGGAUCAGCAUGCCACGGUGAAUACGUUCCCGGGCCUUGUACACACCGCCCGUCACACCAUGAGAGCCGGGGGGACCCGAAGUC